rnacentral:rRNA from 1 species
UACAGAGGUCCCAAGCGUUGUUCGGAUUCACUGGGCGUAAAGGGUGCGUAGGCGGUCGGGUAAGUCUGAUGUGAAAUCUCACAGCUUAACUGUGAAACUGCAUUGGAUACUAUUCGGCUUGAGAGUUGGAGGGGGGGACUGGAAUUCUUGGUGUAGCAGUGAAAUGCGUAGAUAUCAAGAGGAACACCAGUGGCGAAGGCGAGUCCCUGGACAACUUCUGACGCUGAGGCACGAAAGCUAGGGGGGAGCAAACAGG